rnacentral:rRNA from 1 species
CCUACGGGAGGCAGCAGUGAGGAAUAUUGGUCAAUGGACGGAAGUCUGAACCAGCCAUGCCGCGUGCAGGAAGACGGCUCUAUGAGUUGUAAACUGCUUUUGCACAAGGGUAAACCUGAAGACGUGUAUUCAGCUGCAAGUACUGUACGAAUAAGGAUCGGCUAAAUCCGUGCCAGCAGCCGCGGUAAUACGGAGGAUACAAGCGUUAUCCGGAUUUAUUGGGGUUAAAGGGUGCGUAGGCGGAUUGAUAAGUUAGAGGUGAAAUGUCCGAGCUCAACUCGGGAACUGCCUCUACUACUGUUGAUCUAGAGAGUAGAUGCGGUAGGCGGAAUGUAUGGUGUAGCGGUGAAAUGCUUAGAGAUCAUACAGAACACCGAUUGCGAAGGCAGCUUACCGGUCUAUAUCUGACGUUGAGGCACGAAAGCGUGGGGAGCAAACAGGAUUAGAUACCCCUGUAGUC